rnacentral:lncRNA from 1 species
GACGGCUCUUGGAUCAAUCGCACAUCCACAAAUCAACACCUUACGGAGAUCGAAUCAAAGGAUCAAUUUUGAGAGAGAUUGUAACCCCAAAAUCAUUAAUACAAAAUAUUAUUUUGUACACGUGUUCUUGUCUCGUUUGUUUCAGAAAUUUUCGUGUUCACAAAUUUGGCACGCCCGGUGGGACUAUCUCUACCUCUUAUCUCUUUAUCCGUUCAAGGAAUCCAAACACACCUCAAAGUCAAUGACAUUAAGCAAGGGACAAGCCGUUCUCGUAACCACCAAGGUAAGGAUCCUGAGCACUUCUACCGUGAACGGACAAUCCAUUGGCACCACAACUACUUCUCAACAUGCCACUUAAAGUUGGUGCUGCUAAAGGAGUAAGGGGAGCAUCAAAGGCGCG